CUAAGAAUCUUCCGCAAUGGGGGAAACCCUGACGGAGCGACGCCGCGUGGACGAUGAAGGCCGUAAGGUUGUAAAGUCCUUUUGCAGGCGAAGAAUAAGGCGGGGAGUGGAAAGCCCCGCUGAUGACGUUAGCCUGCGAAUAAGCCCCGGCCAAUUACGUGCCAGCAGCCGCGGUAAUACGUAUGGGGCGAGCGUUGUUCGGAGUUAUUGGGCGUAAAGGGCGUGUAGGCGGCGCGCGGCGUCCGGUGUGAAAACGCAGGGCUCAACCCUGCGGUUGCGCUGGAAACGGGCGUGCUGGAGUCCCGGGGGGGAAGCUGGAAUUCCUGGUGUAGGAGUGAAAUCUGUAGAGAUCAGGAAGAACACCGGUGGCGAAGGCGAGCUUCUAUUCGAGGACUGACGCUGAGGCGCGAAAGCGUGGGGAGCAAACAGGAUUAGAUACCCUGGUAGUCCACGCUGUAAACGAUGUGCACUAGGCGUGGGGCACGUCGGUGCUCUGUGCCGAAGUUAACGCGAUAAGUGCACCGCCUGGGGAGUAUGCUCGCAAGGGUG
rnacentral:rRNA from 1 species